rnacentral:lncRNA from 12 species
UUAUCUUGUAUGACACUCAUGAUUAUUCAUACCUCUUUGUUAAUUAUAAAUGUAGUUCUCUCGUUUCCGUAAAUUAGAUACGUUGUGGCAGUCCAGUAUACGCAUUUGACUAGUGCAGACGAUAUCGAAUCAGCAUCGAAGAACUAAAUGACGAAUAUAAGUUUACAAAUUGUAAAACAGGAAAAACAAAAUAAAAGGAUGCAUGUUAUACAACAUAAUAGUUUAAUAGUGAAAAAAUAUUUUCCUCGUGGCCAAUGAGAAAAAUAAUCCAUGUGUUGUACAGUAAAACGGUUUUUAGACUUUCAAGCUGAUCAACAAAAUUUAAAGCUCAAGCUUGCGAUCUGAAGUUUUGAGAAGUUUUUAGUUAUUAGCCAUACUUACCAGAGAAAACGAAUUUACAGACUAUACAAGAUUAGACUCGCUGUGGCAGUCCUGUAUACGGAUUCGACUAUAGCAGGCGAUAUAUUUACACAACGCAAAAUUCUCUUUCCUACGUUAACUGUGCCGUAUUGUUAACUUGUGUAAGCUGUGACGAUAGGAAGCCGGCUCUCCUACUGAUGUCUCAUUUUGUCGCUGGCUGAUGAUGGAUAGACUUCGUUCUGCGCGCCGAACACAAGUGAAAAAAC